rnacentral:rRNA from 1 species
GUCUAUGGCCGUGCCACCCUGAACGAGCCUGAUGUCUGAUCUCAGAAGCUAAGCAGGCUUGAGCCUGGCUAAUACUUGGAUGGGAGACCACCUAGGAAUACCAGCUGCUGUAGUCA